CCACCAUGGAGUUCCUAUAGCUCGUCCCCUGCCUCCUCGUCCUGUGCUCGAGGGAGACGCCCCUCCAGCGCAUCCAGGACAAGGCCCACCGCCAGCCGGUCGUUGUUGCACUCACCGGCGACCUCACCCUCCCCUCUGCACUGCCCUCCACCUCAACUGAUGCUUCUCACCAACAGGGAUAUAUUUAGCUGGUCAUAGCUUGUGGAUGUUCUCUGUUAAUUUUUGCACACAAGGUGUUUGUGUGUUUGUCCAAGCCAAUGUUCAUGAGCUUUAUCUUUGCUAUAAAUGACAUGGCUGAGAAAGUCCCUUCAAUGAAAGGAGGAGGAGUAUAGUCUUGGCCAUGGCUGGGAAGGAAGGAGAACAUGUAAAUUGAGGAUUUUUCAGAGAGAUUAGGACUGCUUGAUUUAUCAGAGAGAAAACCUUGAUCAGGAGCUUCGUCGAUGCAGGCCUUCAUGCUGGACCGAGGAGGAGAAGAAGGGGGGCACAUCGAAGGUGCCGGUGGAGCGUGCCGUCGAGAUUGUUGAUGACAGCGACACGGGCGAGGCCGGGGAGGAGGUCAUGGUUGAUGCUUUACUGCCUGAAUAUGUUGACCGGGAACAAGAGGGUAAGAUGGAUGUGAGGGCGGAGGCGCAUGCCAUGGUGCAGGAUGUUGUGGAAGCCUGAUUAUUUGAGGAAGUGACAGCCACUGGGAGCAUGGAUCGACAGACUAGACAGCAGACCAAGUCCAUUGAUCGAUUGAUUCAACAACGAAGGAAGAGGCAGAAGGUUAUAAAAACGAGCUUGGGGAUUUACUGACCUGAAUCUUAAACAAGGCCGCCCUGCUGAUGGACUCAAGCUCCAAGUUUGCUCCUAGCACGUCUUAAUUAAUUACAUUGGCUUGACAAAAUGUCUAGCAUGAUGGAUAAUGAAUUCAUUCUGUGAUGCCACAUAGAUAUGCAAAGUCAUAGUCCUGCAUGUAUGGACAUCUACUGAUGCAUACAAGCCGAUCGACGGGCACACACAUUAGUAAGUUCUGCUACUAGCCUAAUCAAGAGCCUUUUAUACAACCCCGCAAAAAAAAAGCCUUUUAUACAGCCUUGCAGAUUAAAAAUGAAUUGAAUUAUGAGCAUCUGACAACUACGAUCAAUUUCCUGGUUAUACUUCCUGAAAUAAAGGUGGCCGACCAAAUGAAAGGAUGGAUGCUUUCCUUUAUGUGAGAUAAUGUACAUUAUCUUACUUGAUCUGCAAUGUUUCUUUGGUAAUUUUUUAUGAAAGACACAUGACACAUAGUUUGCUGGAUAGGUCUAAGAUAAAUAUUUCAGUUAUAGGAGGAUAUUUUUAAAUGGGUAAUACUAUUACCGCCAUCUGCUUGGCCUGUCGUGCUUUCGGUAGAGCUUUCAUAUUUCAACACAAAAAAACAACAAUGCAAGUUGGGACCAGAAUAGCACACACAUCCUGAAAGGAAACAUCAGUUGGGAGUGCUCAAGUAUUCAGUUUCUUGGAUGAUGUAUUAUGUUCUCGCUUAUCAUGUACUCCCUCUGUAAACAAAUAUAAGACCUUUUAUAUAGAUAACUAAAGUAGUGAUCUAACAGGUCCUAUAUUUGUUAGAGGGAGUAUGUUUCUAGAUAUCCGUCAACUCCAAUGUUUCAUUUAUCUGCUCUCUGAAUAUGAAGAAGAUAGGCUUGCAAAGUAGCUUUUUAUGUGAAUAAUGUGACAAACAUUUAUGUCUUAUAACUGCAAACAUUUUUUUGUUUAGUCCGUCACCGAGCAAAUGUUUGGGAGUUGGAAAUUAUUUGGAUACACAUGAUCUCAGCAAAGAAAGAUUCACACAUACUACAACCAAAGGACCUCCUUCACUCUCUGUGCAACUACAGAAAUUAUCCUUAUGAGCAGCACCCUAGAUUUAGUUGUGGGUUCUAACAUAUUAGAGAUGUGGUUAGAAUACCUACUGCUCUGAACAAUUAAGUGGUUUGUAUAAACCACCGAUUCCCUCGUGCAGUGUACAAUGUGAUAAGGAUCAUCAUAGGAUCAAACUUAAUACAGGAUGUACACACUUAAUUGUUUCUGAACUAUACUACUUUUUAUGUUCAUUCUCCUGUCCUUUUAAAUCUCUAAUUUAGUUGCAAGUAUUUUAUUUGUUAUCGUUUGGCUUCUUAAGAACAAAUCUAGCAAGUUUGGCUUCUUCAGAACAAAUCUAGCAAGCAACGACUCGACUGAUGAAAGAGAUGUUGACCAUCUUUGCUGCAGUGAGGUACCUUCUUGAUCAUGUUACUAAUCUGUAUCUACAUUAUUCAGAUGUGAAACUCAUGCUUCUUAAAACAUCUGCAACACAUAUGUGCACUCUGAAAUGGUAAAUAUUUGCAUUCUAUAGUACUUCAAGUUUGUGUAGCAUCCCCAUAUUUCCCGCGACCCAGUUCCUUGAACUGGCUAACCCUUAUUGAUGUCAUAUGUCCUGAACUGAUCUCAUGACCAAGUUCCUCAACACGUCCGCCCCUCACAGGCAUGUUGUGCAGUGGCUCAAUUCAUCGCAUUGUGAUUGAACACAUUUGGACACAUUAGGAUUAGGUGAACACUGAACACUGCCAACAUCGGUGAGGGUGGUCAGGAAGAAAAGCCAAAACCACCAGACGAAGGGGCGCUGGUCUCUGGUUCUUGGCGAAGGCCACCGCAGCUCAUCUCCAAGACCUCUGCUGUCGUGUGUCCCCCAAGUUCUUCACCGAAUCUCCUCGCCCGCUGGCUGCUGCUCUUCUUCUCCCUCGAAUACAUCUCUGCUUCUGAUCCUCUGCUGCCGCCCCUAACCUGCUGCUUUUGGUCUCUGAUGCUGCCCUCGACUGCUGUACCUCUCCUUCUCCAACGAAUUGUUGUUCCUAAUCUUCUCUGAACCCAAACUGUUGCUGCUCCGCUUCCUCUCUGAACCUAGUUCUAAACAAUUUUUCAGUGCCACGAUUAGGCUUCCAAGGGUUCAGACAAUGAUGAAGAAGCCUUUUAUAUCACACACUAUAUAACAUCAUGGAAUCACAACCUUAUAACAACUAAUUUAAGAGGCUAUGUUCUGGUUUGCUGUAUCUCCACCAGUUUGGGUUGGUCUGAUAGCUAACCUAAACUGAAUAGGGAAUAAGGAGUACUUUAGUUGGUAUUGAAAGUGGUAUGUUUACUUUCAAGCUGAAAAUCUUGCAAGUUUGGUCCUGGGAUAUUUAAUGCUCCCUUUUCUUAUUAUCUUCCAAUCAUACUAUACAUAUUUAGUUUUUUUACUUUCUCUUGACAAGUGAACUGAAUUAUUCAUGGAGAAUCUGGUUAUGGCAAAUUUUAUUAUGGAGAUUCAUCCGAUGUAAUAGAAUAGCUUUAUUUGCUAAAAUCAAUACAUAACUAUAGUGUUGUAUGGUUACAACAUGUAGAGUUUUGCAAGUGAGAGUUACAGGAAGUCACUAUUGCAAGAUGGCAUUCAGUUAACACACGUACAAUCGACUGAUCACUGUAUCUUUUUUUGCUAAUUUAAUUUGAAAAAGCUAUUGCAAACAAUUUUUUCUUCUGAAAUCAUAUACUCUGUUUAUUUCUAAUGUGAUUUUGUUACUGUUUGUAUGGCAUUUCUCUGUCUAAAUUUUUUGUUACAUAAAUCAAUCUGCAUAUAUGUGUGCAGGCUGUGAAUCGACAAACAGCCCAGAAAAUAUGGCAUGCUACAUACCCUGUGACAGUACAUUAUCAGAAAUACUUAUAUUUUUCAUAAACGCAUCUCUCAUCCAUCAUGACAUAGAUGUGAUGCGUUGCAAGUGUUCUUUUUCGUUCUCUCGCGAUGCGUCGAGUACAUGAUGGAUGGUCUAAUCGUUCAGUGUGUCAUGUGUACUCAGUCACUUGUGUCAUCUUCAGAUUUUAGAAGUCAAAAUUCUAGCUUUAGCUCUAUAUUUAAGAAUUUUUCUACGGAAAAUGCAAGAAAAAUAAAGCGUCCUUCUGCUCUCAUUCUGAGGAAGUUCUGAAAAAUUGAGGCAUUUGUAUGAAUUUCUAUUCUUCAUUAUAAAUUAUCCUUUCAAGUUUAGAAAAUAAAACAUGAUAUACUCUGUAUGUCUCUGUUCUACACUACCACUACCAUUUUAUUGCUGCAAAACGCCAAUGAAAAAGUCAUUACUAUUUUCCACGUUUUUAUACAAUCAAGCUGAAAGAGCAAUAAAAUGAUCUGUUUUUGUCAUCGCCUCAGAUCUUACCGAAAGGCAAUGUGCUUAUAAUGUACAUCUAGAUAACAAUAAUGUGUUUGGGAAUGAUUCAUUUGUCGACGGCCAGCAUGUGGGGUGUGAGGGACGAUACUUAUAUCACUUAGUGGCCAAGGGAAUGACAUCACAAAAGUUUAUCUAAAAUCCUAGGAGAAGAUGGACACAUGUUCCUAUAUUGCUUCUCUACAAUUGCUUUCACCAUUUGAUCAUCCAUGUAAUUUAUAGCAUCCAUGCAUAGCUUAUCCUUAUGCUGUUUGUAUUCACUUAUUCCUUUUGUUGACAUAGCUAGGAGGCUACUAUGAAUGUCACAUAGAUUGUAAUUUAACUUCCUUACAAAUAAUUAACGUUCAAACAUUUCAGUGGAGGAAUCUCAAGACUUAGGAAUGGUGCCCCGACAAUUGUGAGCGGCACAAAGGAAGGGCCGCCAUCACCAAGGAAGUACGUUGACAAUUGUGGACUCCAAAGAGGAACAAGCUCUAUAUUUAGUGCAUUGAGUUGCUAUUUUAAAUUCUAAGAGGUUGAAUUUUGUCGAUUUCUAAGACAUUGACUCGGAAGAAUUAUUAUUUUGCUUGAUGUAAACUCAGAUUAAUUUGUCAUGUCAUUUGAACCGAACAA